GAUGAACGCUGGCGGCGUGCUUAACACAUGCAAGUCGAACGUGAGGGUGUAGCAAUAUGCCUGAAAGUGGCGAACGGGUGAGUAACACGUAGAUGACCUGCCCUGGAGUGGGGGAGAACCAUUGGAAACGGUGGCUAAUACCGCAUACAUCCAGAAGAUUGGGCAAUUUUCUGGGGAAAGCUAUGGUGCUCUGGGAGGGGUCUGCGUCCGAUUAGCUAGUUGGCGAGGUAAAGGCUCACCAAGGCGACGAUGGGUAGCUGGUCUGAGACGACGAUCAGCCACACGGGAACUGAGACACGGUCCCGACUCCUACGGGGGGCAGCAGUGAGGAAUAUUGGGCAAUGGGCGAGAGCCUGACCCAGCAACGCCGCGUGGAGGAAGACGGCCUUCGGGUUGUAAACUCCUUUUGACAGGGAAGAGAGAGGACGGUACCUGUCGAAUAAGUCACGGCUAACUACGUGCCAGCAGCCGCAGUAACAC
rnacentral:rRNA from 1 species